GGAGGUUUAGUUUAUUUGUAGUAAAAUUUUAAUAUGCAAUAUUAAGGAAAUUAAUCUCUU
rnacentral:tRNA from 1 species